rnacentral:rRNA from 1 species
CACGUAGGGUGCGAGCGUUGUCCGGAAUUAUUGGGCGUAAAGAGCGUGUAGGCGGCCAGGUAGGUCUGCUGUGAAAACUCGAGGCUCAACCUCGAGAUGUCGGCGGAAACCAUCUGGCUAGAGUCCGGAAGAGGAAAGUGGAAUUCCUGGUGUAGCGGUGAAAUGCGCAGAUAUCAGGAAGAACACCCGUGGCGAAGGCGGCUUUCUGGGACGGUACUGACGCUGAGACGCGAAAGCGUGGGGAGCGAACAGG